ACGACGCACGAGUUUUACAGCCUCGUCGCGCGGUCACAGAUGGGAAGGCGCGAUAUAAAAACUGGGUGCGCGUAUUCGUCCCGCAGGAAUGCGGUUUACAUACGUUCCCCUUAUUCACGUUAUAUUCACGUCUUUCCUCCCCGGCGAAUUCUUACUCCCUGCCUUUCAACAACCGAGCUCCUUCAUCGCCGCUCUCCGCCGCUGUAUAUGUAUUCGCGCAUAUGUUCCUUUUUCGAAGAUCCGAUUUUAUAUAAAACUUACAUGUAGCGUCUGACAAAUAUCCCAUUUAUUAUACCUUUUUUCAUUUUCAUACGAGCUAAUUCGGCGUUUAGAUGAUCAUCAGUAAAUAGUCAGUUACUACGUAUAGCUAUAAAUUAUAAUGUGUAAUUAGCCAAGUUCUUUUCGAAAUACAGAUUUAGGCUAAUUACAGACUUAUCAUGAUUAAUACAAUUUUAUCUGACUUUGUAAUUAAUCUCGGCGAUUUUUAGGCUCUAUGUUGCUGUAUUGCUGUAUUCAUGUACGACUAUCGCGAAAAACCUCGGGUUUUAGGUGCCAAGCGCGGAACGAAACAAGCGUUAAGCGUUUUCGGUCACGCUCGCGCGACGUCGCGGAUGAAGAUAUAACCCGGAGUUGGUAAAAUGGUAACCCGGUAAUGUAGUAACGUAGACCCAGCUGACUUUCGUAAGCGGAUCACGCGCCCUGCUGAGUGCUUUACGGCAUCACUUUUUUCCCGCGCGCCCACUUCUUCUUCAUCUCUUUCGCCGCCACCGCCUUUUUCCCGGUCCUCAGCCUUCACCUUCUCUCGUCGGGGAUCAUUUUUACUUUGUCAGGUUCAUAUUGGACCUUAUCUUGAGCCUUUUAAAUACGACGCGUAAUUCGCGCACAUAAUUCCGUCCUGAAUCAUGCAGAAUUUUUCCUUAUUCCACUCGCAAUUUCAACAAAGAAUUUGAUUAAAAUAAUUAAAAAAUAUAUUAUAUCCGCGAUAUAUUUUAAAAAAUCUAAACUUUAUACGAAUAAAUACGAAAAUUCUUUUAUAUUGUAAAAUCUACAUCGCAGAUAACGUAAUAUAAUGUAGCACUUGGAAUAUAAUUUAGAAAAGAGACGAAUUGACAAAAGUGCGUGAUUUUUGUUUUUGAUACAAUCUCAAUAUGCAAGAGACAAAAUCCAAUUAUUUUAUUAGUAAAAAAAAUAACAACAAGAAUUGAGUAUCAACCGAUUACUUCCCGUAACCGUUUAACAUAGAAACGCCAUUAAUCCUCCAGUAUUAUAGUAACCCAGAAAUAUAGCUGGACGCCGAGCUAUCAUCGGCAAAGGAGCAGCCACGAGGCGAGCACCGGGCGACGGGCAGAAAUGCAGGGCAGGGAGAAGAGAUGUGAGGGAGAAGAAAGGAGGAUAAGGGAACGGGACAGGAACAAAACGAGGAGAACGAGGAGGCAGACGCUCGCAGUAUGUAGACACGCGCGCACGCGGCCGUAGUGGGUAUGCGGUGGCUUGGGUAGGGAACGAGGAGCCGCGCCAUAAAACACGGGGAAUCCGGGGCUUUAUUUUAUUUCAUUCAAUUCUUCACGGGCGACAACCGCCCCGGGAAUAUGGAAUCAAGUUGUUACGUCGCCUUACGGAGGAUGACGAGAUCGAGGCGGCGGAGAGUAGUAGAUAUCGAAACGAACUAUCGCGCGCGCUUCCCACUGAGGGGUCACAACUGUCUAUCAAUGGCAAGUGCGCACAGUCAACGCGAAAUUUACGACCUUGCCAUCUACGGGCCACGGAGCACCACAUUUUUCUUCAUCGGCGGAUGACGAUAGCGACGUUGGCGACGAUAGAAUGAGCUGAUGACCGAUAAAAUGUAUGAAUCGAUAACAGAAACAAAUAAACAAAUUUGAUUUUUUCCUAGAUAAAUAAUUUUUAAAAAUA
rnacentral:lncRNA from 1 species